rnacentral:rRNA from 1 species
UACGGAGGAUGCGAGCGUUAUCCGGAUUUAUUGGGUUUAAAGGGUGCGCAGGCGGCUGGUCAAGUCAGUGGUCAAAUGUCCAUGCUCAACGUGGUCAUGCCAUUGAAACUGGUCUGGCUGGAGUGCGUCGGACGGCUGCGGAAUGCGUGGUGUAGCGGUGAAAUGCAUAGAUAUCACGCAGAACUCCGAUUGCGAAGGCAGCAGCCGACGUCGCUACUGACGCUCAUGCACGAAAGCGUGGGUAUCGAAC